GUGGGGAAUAUUGGACAAUGGGGGCAACCCUGAUCCAGCAAUGCCGCGUGUGUGAAGAAGGCCUUAGGGUUGUAAAGCACUUUCAGUAGGGAAGAAAAGCGUAGGGCUAAUAUCCUUGCGUCUUGACAUUACCUACAGAAGAAGCACCGGCUAACUUCGUGCCAGCAGCCGCGGUAAUACGAAGGGUGCAAGCGUUAAUCGGAAUUACUGGGCGUAAAGCGCGCGUAGGCGGUUAGAUAAGUCGGAUGUGAAAGCCCCGGGCUCAACCUGGGAAUUGCAUUCGAAACUGUCUAGCUAGAGUAUGGUAGAGGGAAGCGGAAUUCCACAUGUAGCGGUGAAAUGCGUAGAUAUGUGGAGGAACAUCAGUGGCGAAGGCGGCUUCCUGGAUCAAUACUGACGCUGAGGUGCGAAAGCGUGGGUAGCAAACAGG
rnacentral:rRNA from 1 species